GAUGAACGCUGGCGGCGUGGAUAAGGCAUGCAAGUCGAAUGGGUUUAGACCCAUGGCGAACGGGGUAGUAACAGGUAGGAACGUACCUCACAGUCGGGCAUACCCUCCGGAAACGGAGAAUAAUUCCCGAUGGUCUCUUAGGAGUAAAGAUUUAUUGCUGUGAGAGCGGCCUGCUUCGUAUCAGCUUGUUGGUAGGGUAAUGGCCUACCAAGGCAAUGACGCGUAGGGGAGGUGAGAGCCUGACCCCCACCAUUGGAACUGAGACACUGUCCAAACACCUACGGGUGGCUGCAGUCGAGAAUCUUCCGCAAUGGGCGAAAGCCUGACGGAGCGACGCCGCGUGAUCGAUGAAGCACUUCGGUGUGUAAAGGUCUUUUAUAGAGGAGGAAGUUUAUUGACGUUACUCUAUGAAUAAGAGGUUGCUAAACUCG
rnacentral:rRNA from 1 species